AAUAGUUUCAUAAGUUUGGUUUUUUUUUUCUGGAUCAACCUUUAUUUUUUGAAGCUGAUUAGAAAUUGAGGUCAUGUUUCAUUCUGGAAUUUCCUUAUUGAUCUUCCGGUAGCUUGCUGUUAUUUUCUCUGAGUUUGCUGAGCUUAUUCUUCAGUUUUCAGCAUUUAUUUGGCUUUUGUUGAUGUCUUCCCCAAAUAGGUAUGUAAGAUUCCUUCUUGUAACUUUUGUGAAUGUGGAAAAACAGAAUUAACAUAUUGAUGCCAUGUCUACAUCUAUUUUCUGAUGUUUGUAUAUUUAGAUCUGAUUCAUCUAUGUUUCUCUUGAUGGUUGUAUGAUUCUGUUAAUUCAUUUUAAGCUGAAUUUGUAGGCUAUAUUGACUGGUUUGGUUCAAAAUCAUUAUUAAUUCAACUGUCAAUAUGAGCUUAAGAAGUUAAGAGGUGUUGGUGUGAUGCUUUUAUACCUUGUUGAUCCUUCUGUGCUCCUAAAUCGUUUCAAAUAUAUGUUAUCUUUUAGUUUAGUCAUGAUUCAAGCCUAAUGUCAUAGAUAGGUCAUUGAUCAAGUUUAAAGGUUUUUUCAUGCUCAAAACAUCCCCAUGUUUGAUUGAUUGUUCCCUGUAUAAUGACUUAUUUCCUUGAAUAGGUGGUUCAUGCUUGAAAUGGUGUUUGCAGGGGAUGAUUUAUAAAACCAGUUUGUGUUUAUCUUUUCAGUUUUCAAAAUGGAAUUGUUUUUUGAGUAAACUCAGGAAUUACUCAACAGUUAGACUAAUCUUGUUUGCAUUUACAUGUUUAGCUACUUGUCACGACCCCGAACCGGACCCGAUCGGAAUGGCACCUCUCAUGAAACAAGGCCAGCUAACACAAACCCUCAAACCUUUUAAGACCGUUAUAAUAAUUGAUUUUAAGUCAUAAAUAAACUAUAAAUCCCAAAAUAACGAGUGAAGUAGAAUAACACAGCCCGACAUCGAGGUGUCACCAGUCAUGAGAAUCUAAACAUCUGUCUAAAAGUGUGAAAAGACUACAGAGUCAAGUACAAAGCUAGUACAAGGAAAGUAAAGAUAGAAGAAUGGAGAAGCACUGGGCUACGAAUGCCGAGUAAGUAAAAGUGAAAGGAGUAAUGUGAGCGACCAACUCAGUAAGUAAUAAAAGUAAAGGCAGCUAAGCGAUAAGAAAACAUGUAAAACACAGCAAAAUACUACAAUGAGGCAGUAUAAAACCAAGACAAUAACAAAAUAGUAAAAGUUCAUAGAAACGCCUUGGUUAAGUAAACUCUCUCUUUAAAACUUAUUUUAGCAGUUUAAACGAGUGAAUAAAAAUAGGGGGAAAAGACAUAUACAUAAAUCAACCCCUCGGGCACAAUACCAAUGGAUUCAGCCCAUCGUGCUAUCUCACAAUCGUUCAUAUCAGCCCCUCGUGCUAUAUCACAUCUCACACUGGGUACCCGCGCUCUCUGGGGGUGUACAGACUCCGGGAGGGGCCCCUUACGGCCCAAGCACAAUAACAAGCCAUCUCGUGGCAUAAUCAAAGAGACUCCUGGCCUCAUAUCAAGUAACCUUGUGGCGUAACAACUCAGGCUCUCGGCCUCAAAAUCAUAAAUCAGUACAAUACUGCUGCGGUGCACAACCCAACCCCAUAAUAUCCUCACAACACAUGCGCUCGCCCUUACUCAGCCAGAACCUCUCAAGCCACUCCGGGCAAUAGUAAAACAUGAUGCUCAGCCCAAAAUAUCAUUUAAAAUAUCAAAACAAGUAAACAUGGCUGAGUUGUGAAAAUAGUAGAAUAUAGCAUGACUGAGUAUAAAUACGAAGUCAAAAAUAUUGAGAAAUAGUAGUAAAAAUCCCUUAAGGUUCCAAAACAGUUGGCACGAGGCCCAAAUAUGAUAUCCAGCGCAAAACAUGAUGAUAGCAAAUAGUUUUCAAUCAAAUACGCUGUUAAAUAGUCAUACGAGACUAAGUCACAAUUUCCAACGGUGCACGAUCUCACACUCGUCAUCUAGCGUGUGAGUCACCUCAAAGUAGCACAACGAUGUGAAAUUCAGAGUUUCAUACCCUCAGGACAAUAUUUACAAUUAUUACUUACCUUUAUCCGGUCCAAACUCUAUCCCGCAAUGCCUUUGUCAUUCGUAUCGGCCUCCGGAUGCGCCAAAUCUAUCCAAAAAAAAGGAUUAUACCAUCAAAAUAUGCUAAGGGAACAAAUCUCACUCAAAAUAACAAAUUUACAUCACAAAUUUCGAAAUUGGCCAAAUCCGACCUCGGGCCCACGUAUCGAAUUUUGAUAAAAAUUACAAGCCCUCAAAUACCUAGCAUAUCAAAUACAUCAAAAUAAUGACCCCUCAAAUCCCAGAUUAGGUCUUCAAUUUUCAUGCCCUAACUUUCAAUUUUUAGGCUUAAAUUACACAAAUUUCAUGAUUAAUUAGGUAGAAACCACAUUUGAUUGAGUAUUAAGUCCAUAAAUCUUACCUCCAAGUGUUUUCCCUUAAUUCCCUCUUCAAUCCUCCUAAAAAAGCUCUAAAAUCGGCAACAAUUGUGAAACUUAGACCCAAAAUCAAAGAUAUGGCCUUUUAAAAUAUUCUUCCCAGCACUUAAAAUCUCUUGCUCGCGAACACGGUCAAUGCCUCGCGUUCGCGAAACACAAACUCGUGUUGACCAUUUUUUCCUUCAUUGUGAUCGCGACUUCCCGUAUGAGAAUGCGAUGGCUUGUAUUCCCAAGUCAUAGUGAACGUGGCUCCCCACCCGCCCCAUCUGAUCACUUUCCUCAAUACGAACGCCGCAAGAACCUCGCGAAUGUGAUGACUAUUGGAAUCGAUGCUUCGCGAUCGUGGGACCACCUUCACGAAUGCGAAGGCCAACUUCACAGCCUCACAUCCUAACCUUUCGCGAUUGCGGGAUAUCAAUCGCGAAUGCGAAGGUCAAAAACCUGCAACACCAACAACAGUUUUUUCUACAAUUUUCUUCAACAUGAAAUGAUCCGUUUAACCACCUGAAACUCACCCGAGGCACUCGAGACCUCAACAAAGCAUGUCAACAUAUCCCAUAACAUAAUUCAAACUUGUUCCAAUCUUCGGAACGCUCAAAACAAUAUCAAAACACCAAAUUUGAACCAGAUUCAAGCCUAAGAAUUCCAAAAACUUCUAAAUUCCGCUUUCGAUCAAAAAGUCUAUCAAAUUUCGUCUGAAUGACCUGAAAUUUUGUACAUAUGUCAUAAAUGAUACGAUGAACCUACUACAACUUCCGAAAAUCCAUUCCGACCCAUAUAUCAAAAUAUCACCUAUUAACCGGAAAACAUCAAAAUUUCAAUUUCGCCAAUUCAAUCCUAAAUCUACUUCGAACCAUCAUAACGCAUUCGGAUCACGCUCCUAAGUCUCAAAUCACUUUUCGAAACUAUCUGAACCAUCAGCACUCACAUCCGACCCUUUUUCACAUAAGUCAACAUCCGGUUGACUAUUCGAAGUUAAGCUUACUGAAAAGAGACUAAGUGUCUCAAACCUUAUCAAAAUCUCUCCGAACCCGAGCCAACCAACCCGAUAGCACAUAGUACAACUGAACAAAAGAAUAAAAAGCAGAAAUGAGGAAUACAGAGUAGUAACGCAUGAUACACUACUGCCGGUGGUCAAGUAAUUUAUGUGAGUAGCCUAGUGGUUAUCUCAUUGUAAAUCAAUAUCCACAAGGGAAUUAAAAAAUCACUAUCCUAAAUCAUUUUUUUCUCUUUCUGGAUAAUGUUUGAAGAAGGUUGUUCGGAGCAGUGAUGUACAGAUCUCUUUCCUUAUUUAUAAAAUAUGGAACUCGUUGGGUUGUAGUUAGUUAAUGACUUGUAAUGAUUUAAUUUCUAUACCUCUUUUGUAUUGAUAAGUUAAUUUAAUGGUUGAUCAUGUUGUAUUAGGUUAAACCUGUUGUAGUUAAAUAUAAGCAUAUUUGAUUCUAUAGCUUUAGAGUGAUAAUCCUAUGGAAAUCUGUUUUUGGAUUAAAAUGUAAAAAUCGCUUUGUCUUUCUGUUUGCACAUGUAUUUACUGUUUAAAAAACUUCAGCCUCCCUUUUUUCUCCCCUUCUCCUCUUCUUCUUUUAAAACACUUUACAUUUUGAUGCUGCUAAAGUAACUGUAUAAUUGAAUUUCAAAUCUUCCAUUGUUUCAUUAAUGAUUUAAUCUGGAGGUCACUGCUUAGUCCCCUACGACACAUUUUUUUUAUACUAAAAGACUGAAGUUUUCCGGUUACAAAGACAAAAUUUCUAGAGCUGAAGUUUCCAGUUACAAAAGAAAAACUUCAGCACUAGAGCUGAAGUUCGCCAGCUAUAAAAUAAAAACUUCAUCUCUAGAGCUGAACUUCAGGCCUGACUACUAAAAUGCUGAAGUUUUGCGUGAUUGUCUUUGCUAUUUCAGCCCUGUGUGCUGAAGUUAUGUGAAAAAAUGGAUACGCUUGUAAUUAUUUUUGUAAAGUGGACACAAGUUAAAAUGUAACAAAAAACGGGUAUAAAUGCAAAUGCCCCAAUUAAAAUUGCGCAUUGGGCCUAGUAACUCUGCAAGCCCAAAUUAGUAGAGUUCCCUUAAAUUGAAUUUGAGCUCUAAUAGUAAACCCAGCUGAUAGUUUAUUUAAGGCUUAGCUGGAUGUACCUAGACUCCAUAAGCAAGUCCAAUUCGAAAGCCUGUCUGGUAGACAAGCUUGGACAACCCAUUUAGACUUUGAACAUGCUGCUAUAGGAAUUUAAUGUCAUCUAUCCCCCCAACGAGGAACAUUAGUUUGGCUAAAAACGAAAUGUUAGGACUAGCCCGAUUAUUUUCGAAGUCAGUUAAUUACAACAGCCUUGCUUACUUUAAUGCCUUUGGUUUGAAAUCCCCUCUUAUAAACUGUCAUUCUAGGAAAUUAGACGGUAAUAUGCUUUUAGACGCGUUUAGUUAAUCAAACCAUCGUGAUUAUAUACACGUUCGCGUGAUACAAUUACGAUUUUACAAAAUGAACACUCGUACAAAUGCUUUUAGAUGCGGCUUAAUUGAUUAUUGUGAUUGUGUACACGUUCGCGUGAUAUAAUUACGAUUUUCAAAAUUAAAUCGAGGUAUGCGUUCGCGCAACUUCGGCCAAAUAAUCUUAAAAUUAAUAAAGUGUGAUCAAUUGUGUACACAUAUGCAUGGCAUGAUUUAAACGUCCCAAAUAAAGUGUACUUACAUACAUGUAGUCCGUUACAACGAUUAAAUCCAUAAACGCCAUAAUUAAAAGCGGUAAAAGGUAAAAUGUAUAUAGGUUCUUAAAUGAGUAAUUAAAUAAUUUUAAUUAUGCUAGGUAUGGUUAAAGUGAUCGUGCUAAAAUUAUAUAACUCGAGAAUACCUAACACCUUCUCCCGACUUAACAGAAUUCCUUACCCAAUCUUCUGUGUUCUCAGAUCAAAAAUAGAGUCAAUUUUUGUGACGACCCAAAGGGUCAUCACCGUAUUUCUCCCAUUUUUCGUGCUUUCGAGGCCUUAAAAACCUUGCUUUUAGUUGCCUUAGUUCGCGUGCGCAAUCAAGGCGCGAAGACGGGAUAUUUUUAUGUUAAAAUAUGUGAAUUAUGUGAAAUAUUUGAAGAAUUUUGAUAUUAAUAUUGUUAGAAUUGACUUUGGUCAAUAUUUUGGGCAAACGGAUCCGGACCCAUGAUAUGACGGUCCCGGAGGGUCCGUAGGAAAAUAUGGGACUCGGGCGUACUCCUGGAAUCGAAAAUUGAGGUCCCGAGCCCGAGAAAUAAAUUUUUGAAAGAAAUUAUUGUUCUGAAAAUUAUAUGGAAAUUUGAAAAGAAAAUAAGUUAGAAAAUAUUGGUGUCGGGCUCAUAUGUUGGUUCUGGCACCGGUAUAGGUCUUAAAUAUGUGUUAAGCGCUUUCUGUGGAACUUGGUCGAAAUCAGACGUCGUUUGAUGUGUUUCAGACCUAAAUAUCUAAAGUUAGAAGUUUAAGAAGUUUGAAAUGAAAAUGAUGAUUUUGAGACUUGAUUCAUUGAUUUUGAUGUUGUUUUGGCGAUUUAAUCGGUCGAGUAAGUUCGUAGAAUGUCAUUGAGUUAGUGUGUGUGUUUUGUUAGGAUACCCGAGGGCUCGGGAGUAAUUUGGAGGUGGUUCAGGGUGUUUUUAAACUUAGGAAGUUGGCAGAUUUUCUGCAAGUUUUGCCCGGGUAUUUUGUUCUUCGCGAACGCUGCCUCAUGCUCGCGUUCACAGUGCCUUGGUGUUUCCCUCUUACGCGUUCGACCCCCUUCCCGCGUUCGCGUAAUUUUGUUGCCCCUUCUAUCACGUUCGCGUCCCAUCCCAUCGUGAUCGCGUAGACCAACCCCCCAGGACCCCACUAUUUUCCUCUUCGCGUUCGCAGCAACCCAAUCGCGAACGCGAUGCUUCCAGGUCUUCUUCGUUGCGACGCAUCCUCUGAGUUGCGAUUGCGUAGGGUAAAAACCCUUCAGUGAUUUUUCUUAAAAACAGAACACUAAACACUAGAUUUUCGCUACUUUUUCAAAACUCAUCUUCUUCCCACACCCUAUAGACGAAAUUUGAAGAAUCCUUCCUCCAUAACUUCAUAGGUAAGUGUCCCUAACCUCCUUUUCUCUUCAAUCCUUCAACUAAUCACUACAUUCUAAGCCUAAAAACAUGAAAUCAAAUUAGAAAUUACAGAUUUUGGGUAGAGUUAGGUUUUUGGGGAUUUUGGGUGAUUCAACCUCAAUUUGGGGUCAAAUCUUGAAAUAAAUUGUAUAUUUGAACUCGUGGGGUUAUGGGUGAUCGGGUUUUGUUCCGAGCCUCGAGUUUGGACCAUGUGGGCCCGGGGUCAGAUUUUGGUAUUUUUGAAAGAAUGAUAGGAAUUUCAUUUCUAGGCUAUGGGAUUAUGUCUUUGAGCCCUUAUUGAUAUUGUUGAACUAAUUAUACCUAGAUAUCAUUGUUUCGGAGUUGGAUUAUAGAGGAAAUGUUGUAUUAGAGAGUUGAUUGCUAUUCCUGGACCGAGGUAAGUGUUUGUUCUAACUUUGGCUUGAGGGAAUAGGAUUAUGAUAUUAUUUGCUACUUGGUAACUGUAGAGUACGACAUAUAGGCAUGGUGACGAUUAUCUGUGCACCAUAGUCUAGCAUGACCAUGAGUCUUAUUUGUGUUGGAUUCGGAUUUGAUGAUAUAUUUUCAUUGCUUAAUUGAUAAGUUUCAUAUAAAGUGGAUAGUUGAAGAAGAAUUGUGAUUGGUAUAUAGCAUUGGAGCGUUGGCUCGAAUUAGAAUUUGCUAAUUAAUAAUGAAGUGAUUAAAGAGGAAGUGUUGAGAUUAUUCCCUUGCCGGGACGUGUAGUCUAUUAUUAUGUACUCUCCCUUGCCGGGAUAUUUGGGUUGCUAGUUGUACCCUUGCCGGGUUAAUGUGUUAUGUUCGUGAAUUUCCCCUAAUGGGGGCCUUCCUUACGAAGAUCGGAUGUUUUUGAACUAUACUAUGGGAUCGCGUGGUACGUCAUCCACUUAUAUACUAUAAUAUGGGAUCGUGUGGCAUGUCGUCGACUUAUAUAUUAUGAAAUGAGAUCGUGUGUCACGCCGUCCACUUAUAUAUUAUGAAAUGGGAUCGUGUGGAACGCCGUCCACUUAUAUAUUAUGAAAUGGAUCAUGUGACACACCGUCCACUUAUUAUAUUGUGAAACGGGAUCGUAUGACAAGCCAGCCACUAUAUAUAUUAUGAACUGGGAUCGUGUGGCAUGCUGACCACUUAUGUGUUAUAAUAUAGGAUCGUGCGGCACGCCGUCCACCAUAUAUCAUGGAAAUCUGGAGUAGUUCUGCUGUUUAUUGUUUAUAUUUCGUUUUCAUCUAUUACCUCCAAUAGCAUGUCCCCCUCUCACCUUUAUUUCGUAUUUCUCUCAUUAUUGUUUCUUGCACUUGUGUAUAUAUAUAUAUAUAUAUAUAUGCACAGGUUAUAUUUGGUAGGUCAUCUCUAGCUUCGUCACUACUUCAUCGGGGUUAGGCUAGGCACUUACCAGCACAUGAUGUAGGUUGUGCUGAUGCUACACCCUGUGCAUUUUGUACACAAAUUAGGGAGCAGCUUUUGGACCGCAGCAGUAGCAUUGCCGGGAGCUAUCUUCAGUCCAGAGAAUCUCGAGGUAGCCUAGCUGGUGUUCGCAGCCUGAAGUCCCUUCUAUGUUUUAGUAUGUUUACUUGUAUCGGACAAACAUUAUGUAAUUUCCUUUCAGACUUGUCUUUUGCAUUCUAUAGUAGUCCAUGAGCUAGUGACACCAGACUCUAGGUAGUUAUAUAUUUGAAACUUCCGUUUUAUGUUUCCAGCUAUAUAAAUCUAAAGUCUUCCCCUUUAAUUAUUGUUUUCGUUUAUUAUAUAUUGUUUAAAUAAAAUCAGGAAAAAUGGUUUAAAUAUUUGGCUUGCCUAGCUCCGACAGUAGGCGUCAUCACUACUCCUGAUGCUGGAAAAUCUGGGUCGUGACAAUUUUUCUCGAUUUUGGAUUUAAAAUAAACUGGUGACUUGGGACACCAGAAUUAUUCCAAGUGGCGACUCUAAAAUUAAAUAAUUAAUCCCAUUUCAAUUAAUAUCACUGAAAUUGAAAUAACUUCCUAUCUUUCACGACCCAAAUUCCCUCCGAAUGAGUCGUGAUGGCACCUAGUCUCUAAACUAGAUAAGCCUAAGAUUAAAUAAAAUAACAUUGAUAUUUACCAAUUUACAUUGAAUAACUCUCAACAAUUACAAUUCCCCAAAAUUGGUGGUACAAGUCAUAAGUUGUAACGACCUGGCCGGUCGUUUUUAAAGUUGCACUACGUUCCCAUAUUAACUACUUCCCCUAAGUUUGUUUCUGCUAUUUUGGUUUGCCGGGACGUUCGUUGUUAGGACUCGGACUGUUUUGGGACACUUAGUCCCUAAAUGAGAGCUUAAAUGUUGGGAAGUGGUCCGUAGUCGGAAUAGUGUGAAGACGACCUCAGAAUAGAAAUCUGAUGGUUCUGUUAGCUCCGUUAGGUGAUUUUGGGGUUGGGAGCGUGUCUGGAUUGUGCUUUGGAAUUCCGCAGCUCAUUUAGACUAGAAAUGCUGAAAGGUAGAAUUUGGAAGUUUCUGGUCCGAUAGUGAAUUUUUUAUCUGAGGGUCGAAAUGGAAUUCCGGAAGUUUUUGUAACACCGUCAUGUCAUUCGGGACGUAUGCGCAAAAUUUCAGGUCAAUCAAACUUGUGUUUGUUAGGUUUUGAGUCUUCUGGUAUUUUCGCUUCUGGGACUUGGGAACCGCAGAAGCGGUUUGAGGGCUCAUGGCAGGGUCCGCAGGAGCGGAAGGAUUUCCGCAGAAGCGGUAUCUCUUCUGCGAUGUAUGGAUCGUAGAAAUGGAAUAUACCCAUUUAAGUGGAAGCCGCAGAAGCGGCACUACGUCCGCAUAUGCAAGACCGCAGGAUUGGUCCCUUGUCCGCAGAAGCGGAAAUAACUGUUCAGAUAUUGAAAUUUCGAGGAUUUUUUUUUUUAAAUUUCGAGGGUUAGUUUUCAAAGGUAGAGAAAUCAAAAUUGAGCUAGGGAGAAGGCGAUUUUGGGUGAAUUUUGAAGAGAAGAUCAUUGAGUAAAGUUUUCUUGAUCCUAUUUAGUUGUAUUCCAUUAAUAUCUAGUUAAUUCACCAUUAGAAUUCGAAUUUAAGGUCAAAAUUGGGGAAAAAAUGGAAGAAACUUAAGAAACCUAAUCGUUGAGUUUUGAGUGGGUAUUUGAUCUCCGAUUUGGGAGAUUUUUAUAUGAUAGCCUCCUGAGAGUACGAGGGUUCAAAAAACGUAAAAAUUAUUUGAUUCCGAGCCGUUGUCCUGAGGGGAAUUUUGGUCAUUUUACUUAUUUUCACGCCUUAGCUCUAAUUUUAAUAGUGGAUUUAGUUGUUAGUGGUGUUAACUACAUUAUGUAAUUGGAUUGACUAGAUUUGGGUCAUUCGCAGUCGGAUACUCGUGGCAAAGGCUUUGUUUCCACUUGAUAUUGUACCGGUUCGAGGCAAGUGGCUUGUCGAACCUUGUGUGGGGGACUUCUCCCCUUAGGACAUGAUCAUUACUAUUUGAAAGCCUCGUAUGUGAGGCGAUGAGCGCGUACUUGAGCUAUUUAUUGUAAACCCAUUUUUACUUGAAAUAUUUAAAUGAGAUUCAUGUUUACUUGUUCCUUUUAAACUGUGAGUUCAACCAGUGCUAGCUUAGAGAUGUAUAUUUAACUGGCUUACUUGUUUAAUUGGUUAAUAUUAUUAUUUGCACUCUGUGAAGCAUGUUAGGCUAGAAUUUAUCAUUACUUGUUCUGAUUUAGAAUUUAUUCUGAGAACAUGAGUUGUUGUUAUUGUGUGUUUAAUUUGGGCAAAUGGGACGGUUUCCCGGAAGAUCCCCCUGUACUUGAUAUGUUCUUGAUUGAGGGUUACCAAGAGAUCCCUAGCACGUCUAUUUCUAUAUAUCGGGAUACCAAGAGAUCCCCCAUUUAUUUAUUGAGGAUACCAAGCGAUCAUCGGGAUACCAAGAGAUACCUAAUUUAUUUAUUGAGGACACCAAGAGAUCAUCGGGAUACCAAGAGAUCCCCCAUUUAUUUAUUGAGGAUACCAAGCGAUCCCCGGGAUACCAAAAGAUCCCUGAUUAUUUAUUGAGGAUACCAGGAGAUCCUCCGGAUACCAAGAGAUCCCCAGUGUAUAUAUUGAGGAUACCAAGAGAUCCCUUGUGCAUAUGGUGUGGAUACUGAGAGAUCCUCGGGAUACUAAGAGAUCCCUCGGUUGUCAUUCUUGUUGUGAACGAUAUCUUCUUCUUGUGUUGUUUACUUCUAAUUUUAUAUUAUUGAUCUCCAUACUUAUCCUGUUUAGAUUUCUCGUUGUAGAUUCUCAUUAUACUGUAUCUCUAUCCUACCAUUUAUUAUGUUUUAUCUCAGUAGGGCCUCGACCUUCCUCGUCACUACCCGACUGAGGUUAGGUUUGGAAAAUAUUGAGUACCAUUGUGGUGUACUCACGCCUCUUCUACACAUGUUUUUAAUUUGCAGAUCCAGGUACCUCUACACAAGAGCACUAUCAGUGAUUUCAGGGGAUUUCUC
rnacentral:lncRNA from 1 species